rnacentral:rRNA from 1 species
AGAUUAAGUUAUUAAGGGCGCACGGUGGAUGCCUUGGCACUAGAAGCCGAUGAAGGACGUUACUAACGACGAUAUGCUUUGGGUAGCUGUAAGUAAGCGUUGAUCCAGAGAUUUCCGAAUGGGGGAACCCAGCAUGAGUUAUGUCAUGUUAUCGACAUGUGAAUUCAUAGCAUGUCAGAAGGCAGACCCGGAGAACUGAAACAUCUUAGUACCCGGAGGAAGAGAAAGAAAAAUCGAUUCCCUGAGUAGCGGCGAGCGAAACGGGAAGAGCCCAAACCAACAAGCUUGCUUGUUGGGGUUGUAGGACACUCUAUACGGAGUUACAAAAGAACAUGUUAGACGAAUCAUCUGGAAAGAUGAAUCAAAGAAGGUAAUAAUCCUGUAGUCGAAAACAUAUUCUCUCUUGAGUGGAUCCUGAGUACGACGGAGCACGUGAAAUUCCGUCGGAAUCUGGGAGGACCAUCUCCUAAGGCUAAAUACUCUCUAGUGACCGAUAGUGAACCAGUACCGUGAGGGAAAGGUGAAAAGUACCCCGGAAGGGGAGUGAAAGAGAACUUGAAACCGUGUGCUUACAAGUAGUCAGAGCCCGUUAAUGGGUGAUGGCGUGCCUUUUGUAGAAUGAACCGGCGAGUUACGAUCUGAUGCAAGGUUAAGCAGCAAAUGUGGAGCCGCAGCGAAAGCGAGUCUGAAUAGGGCGUUGAGUAUUUGGUCGUAGACCCGAAACCAGGUGAUCUACCCUUGGUCAGGUUGAAGUUCAGGUAACACUGAAUGGAGGACCGAACCGACUUACGUUGAAAAGUGAGCGGAUGAACUGAGGGUAGCGGAGAAAUUCCAAUCGAACUUGGAGAUAGCUGGUUCUCUCCGAAAUAGCUUUAGGGCUAGCCUCAAGUGAUGAUUAUUGGAGGUAGAGCACUGUUUGGACGAGGGGCCCCUCUCGGGUUACCGAAUUCAGACAAACUCCGAAUGCCAAUUAAUUUAACUUGGGAGUCAGAACAUGGGUGAUAAGGUCCGUGUUCGAAAGGGAAACAGCCCAGACCACCAGCUAAGGUCCCAAAAUAUAUGUUAAGUGGAAAAGGAUGUGGCGUUGCCCAGACAACUAGGAUGUUGGCUUAGAAGCAGCCAUCAUUUAAAGAGUGCGUAAUAGCUCACUAGUCGAGUGACACUGCGCCGAAAAUGUACCGGGGCUAAACAUAUUACCGAAGCUGUGGAUUGUCCUUUGGACAAUGGUAGGAGAGCGUUCUAAGGGCGUCGAAGCAUGAUCGCAAGGACAUGUGGAGCGCUUAGAAGUGAGAAUGCCGGUGUGAGUAGCGAAAGACGGGUGAGAAUCCCGUCCACCGAUUGACUAAGGUUUCCAGAGGAAGGCUCGUCCGCUCUGGGUUAGUCGGGUCCUAAGCUGAGGCCGACAGGCGUAGGCGAUGGAUAACAGGUUGAUAUUCCUGUACCACCUAGUAUCGUUUUAAUCGAUGGGGGGACGCAGUAGGAUAGGCGAAGCGUGCUGUUGGAGUGCACGUCCAAGCAGUAAGGCUGAGUGUUAGGCAAAUCCGGCACUCAUAAGGCUGAGCUGUGAUGGGGAGAGGAAAUUGUUUCCUCGAGUCGUUGAUUUCACACUGCCGAGAAAAGCCUCUAGAUAGAUAACAGGUGCCCGUACCGCAAACCGACACAGGUAGUCAAGAUGAGAAUUCUAAGGUGAGCGAGCGAACUCUCGUUAAGGAACUCGGCAAAAUGACCCCGUAACUUCGGGAGAAGGGGUGCUCUUUAGGGUUCACGCCCAGAAGAGCCGCAGUGAAUAGGCCCAAGCGACUGUUUAUCAAAAACACAGGUCUCUGCUAAACCGUAAGGUGAUGUAUAGGGGCUGACGCCUGCCCGGUGCUGGAAGGUUAAGAGGAGUGGUUAGCUUCUGCGAAGCUACGAAUCGAAGCCCCAGUAAACGGCGGCCGUAACUAUAACGGUCCUAAGGUAGCGAAAUUCCUUGUCGGGUAAGUUCCGACCCGCACGAAAGGCGUAACGAUUUGGGCACUGUCUCAACGAGAGACUCGGUGAAAUCAUAGUACCUGUGAAGAUGCAGGUUACCCGCGACAGGACGGAAAGACCCCGUGGAGCUUUACUGUAGCCUGAUAUUGAAAUUCGGCACAGCUUGUACAGGAUAGGUAGGAGCCUUUGAAACGUGAGCGCUAGCUUACGUGGAGGCG